UGCAAAUAGCAGGUGGCUGCUUUUGUUCC
rnacentral:piRNA from 1 species